rnacentral:lncRNA from 1 species
GCUUCGUUUCACAGCCACCUUCAUACCAGUCUCAAGAGUUCCUUUAUAAACUUUGCCAAACCCACCCUCACCAAUCAACAACUUUGGAUUGAAAUUAUGAGUCGCAGCCAGUAUUUCAGCUAAAGACAUCUUCAGUUUGAGGUUUAAAUUAGUAACGUUGGAGGAGGCAUUUUCAGUUUUUUCAGUUAUCCAACUUGGAGACCUCCCUUUUCCAUAAAGAAACUCAGCUUUUACGGGCUUUGGUCGCUUUAAUCUCAAACAUAAUGAGAAUAAUAAAAUCAAAACCAAGACUAGAGACACACCUCCAGCUGAACCAAUUCUGAGAGCUAGAUGGUUUUUUGACUCAUGUUCAUCAACAGGCACUACAAUUAUCUUGUUCCCCACAAACUCCAUGAUCUCCAGUCCAUUCAGAAAAACAACUUUCUUAAUAGAAUUAUUUCCUGGGGCUAUACUAAAACUCAUAUAUCCGGAAUCAUCAGAAGGAACCACAAAAUCGAGGAAAAAUGGAGAUGCCAUUUCACUAAACCCACCAGAAUUAGGAUCGAUCACUUGACUCAAAUUGGUAGAUAAAUUGAGAUCAAAUUUCACAGUACCUGGUGACACACUGAUAAAGUCACAAAAGUGCAGACGAACAAGAUGCCUAGCUUUCUUGCUCACGUUAAAACGCCAAGUUAUAUUUGGAAAAUUGGAUGCCCCGUUAUUAUCUACACUCGCUUCUUUGCAAGUUGUGUACACAGAAUCAGGGGCAAUUUCUUGGACAGUCAACCCUUGACUGGCCUGAUGAAGUUUACCACUAAACGGACGGUUUGCACCCGAACCCCCAAAAGCUAGAUAAUCAUCAUCUGGUACCCAAUUUCUCCACAGGGUAUCGUUAACUUCUAGACCUCCAACAUUGAUCCUAUAACGUGUCCUAAGAGCUCCAUCUUUGGUCCGUAAAGGAGGAGUUGCAGAGGCAUUAUCCAUGAAGAAAUUUUGUGGGAGAAGAAAGGCUUCAAUGGCAUUCACGAAAGCAAAAGGUGUCUCUUCAGCUGGUUUGAAGUAGAUGUUGAAAUUUCCUACAGCUAUCGUGAGAAAGAACUCCUUGAUCACUGGGAACUCAGUAGUACUGUUCGGGACUCUAAAAUCUGUUAAAAGUGAAAAAUUUGAAGCAGACACAUUGAACAAAGCAUCAGCAAGAUGAGUCCCUUUGAAGCUGAAUGGAAAGAAAUGAAGGCGGACAAGGUAGGAACCAUUUUGAGUGAUAUCAAGCAUAUACGGGGUUAAUUUCGUAUAGAUUCUGGCUGUAUGAUAUAGGAGUGAUAUGCCGGGUAAAGGGUUUUCAUUUUGGAUAGAUUUGCUUUUUCCUACAGAGAAGGAAGAGUUAGACUUCUCAUCACCAACAAAAGUCCGCGGGUAACCGUCAAGAUCAUCGACAUCGGUGCCUGAUCCGCAGUUCAUGAAGUACUUAACCGGAGGAUUGUAAGAUACUGAGGAUGAAAGAAGAGAAAGAAGAAGAAGAAGAAAGAGUGGAUGAAGAGAGAACUCCAUAGAAAUUGGAUGAGGAUAUUUGAUGCUUUUUCUUUGAAUGGAGGAAAGGCUGUCAGGAGCGGAGGAUAUGAGGGAGUACUGGCAAGUUUGAAAUUUCAGAGGAAGAAUUGUUGACUUGUAUCUGUUACUCUUUGUCAAGAGCAGUUUUUAUCGACAACAAAAAGAGAUUAACCAAUUGAAUGAAGGAGAAGAAAAGUCACAUUCUUAGAUUUUGGCCAAAUACAACUACUUGCAAGUGCUUCUAUUUCACUUGCAAGCACAAAGGCAUUAUCACAACCAAAAAGUAUAGAAUCUCAUUGACUGUUCUCAUUCCUUGCUUGACCCAGUUUGCGAGUGUCUUUCUAACUAUGCUUGAUCAAUUAAUUUGUCCCUGUCGUUAUAGAAUCUUUGAAAAACAAACUAAUAAAUAAAUGAAGAAACAAUAAUUGACCGUUCUCGUUGACUGUUCUCAUUCCUUGCUUCUUACGGUUUGGGACUAAUUUUCUAAUUUUGUUUGUUCAUGUUUUAAAACUAUAUUUAUUUUAUAAAAAUAUUAAAUUAAUAUUUUUAUUUUUAUAUUUUUUAAUUAUCUUCAUAUGGUAAAAUUAAAAAUAUAAAAUAUUAUUUUGAUAUAUUAUUUACUAAUAAAAAAUAUUUUGCACACCAAUGUCAUGGACAUUGUUCUAGUAAAAGACACCAAUAUCUAGGACAUAUCCAACAAAAUCAUGGUCAUUCGUUGUUCAAUGUUCUAGUAAUCUAUCCCCCACUCCAGCCUUUUCUUUUGCGAAUAUAUCUUCAAGACUUAUAAUUAAAACUUGUCCUGAUAAAAGAAACAUUUAUUGCUAAUAUUUUUCUAAUUAAAAAGAAUUAAACUGUGUGAAGAUUUACUCAAUAUAACAUGCUCUACUUAAUGAAUUCAAAACAACUUGAUUAAAGAAUGAAGAUGGGAAAAACUUAAUUUAAAAAUAGAACACGAUAAAACAAUCUCAUUCUACUAGGGUUAACUCACAAAAUAGAUGACCCGAGUCAUGCAAUUAGAAUAACAUUAUAAAAAACAAAUAAAAAUAUAUCAUGAAACUUGUCCCAAUAAAUUAUCAUAAUCAGUUGAUAUAUAUAUAUAUAUAUAUAUAUAUAUAUAUAUAUAUAUAUAUAUAUAUAUUGGUUAUUGGGUUAGGCAUGCUCCGUUCAUAAUAGAUGGGCAUGAUCCAAGUUAUUAUAGGAGUUAUUAAAGGAAGUAAUCGUUUUCUCUAAUUAUAUAUAAAUGAACAUAACUCAUAUGAAAAAGCAAGUUUUUCAUUUGUUGAAUAAUCAUUCUCUAUUUCUCUUCUCUCAUCUUGGAUUCUCUGUAUUAUUUUGACAAGAUUUAUAAAAACGUUCGUACUGUGGAAUAUUACUUUAAUUCUAAUAAUUAAAAGGACACUGAAGUAAUCGAUUCGGGGAUACGAAAGCGAAUUUUCACAAGUAAGUUUUCCUUUCUAAUCUAUAUUGGUAUCAGAGCCAUGAUUUUAAUAUUUUUUUUUAUUCAGUACAUUUGUUAUUAUAUAAAUGUUAGAUGUAAAUUCAUGUUAAAAGAAUUCUUUCAUUGAGUCUUGAAUUUACAAAAUUUUAUGAAGUAACUGAUUUAUGAUUUUAUCUUUUCUAUCAUUAAUUAGAAAAGGCUUUCUGUAUGGUAGUUGUAUAAUUAUUAUAUAACAAAAAAAGAAAAAAAAGAACAAUUACCAAUUAAUCGUGUGAAUUGGUAAUGGAAACUGCCAUUUGGUAGUUGAAAAAAAUACCUUGAAAGAACACAUCUUUAAGAGAUGUGUAACUGCCCUUUGGCAGUUAAAAUAAUAAUAAUAAGGCAAUUACUAUUAAUUUAUUGUUAAUAUAAAUUGUUUAAUUGUGGUGUUAAUUUAUUCAUUAUUAAAAUAAAUUCCUUAAUUUCUGUGUGAUUUUUUUUAACAUAUCUGAUGAUACAUGCCUUAAUUAAAUAUUAAGUAUAAUAUUUAUGUGCUUUUAAAAUAUUUUGUUGUAGUGGAUAAGCAAUAAUAUACUGAUCAUUUAUUGAGUUAUGCCUUUAAUUAUGUUCAAAAAAUUCAAGAGCAUAUUGAUUAUAUGUAUCAUUGAAUGAGUAGACUAACAUAUUUAGUUGGGCUACAAUUUACAUUACAAAAUGCUAAUGCUUCAGCAUAUAGAGGAAAUUUAAAUAAAAAAGAUUUAUUUUAUACCAAACAAGGAAAUGUUUAUCAUAUUCAAGACAAUAUUGGACUACCUCCAAUAUACUUAGAUGAGUUUACUAUUUGUAUAAACUUAAUUAUAAUGAAGUUUAAGGAAAAUUGCAUUGGAUUUAGGCCUUUUUAACAAAAAUAACUAGGUUAAGAAGUUGAAGAAGAAACAUCGCAUUGGCCUUUGAGGACCUUUUGAUUCUUAGGUUUGUUCGGUUGUAUAAUGGAUAUAACUUUGAAGGUUGUGUUUUGUAUGUAAUAAAGUAUAUUGAAGAAGAUGAUAAAUACAAGUGCUUAGAGAAUGAGAAUAUUUAUUUAUGCAAGGAAUGAAAAAAAUUAAAUUUUACCUAGUGUUUCAUGUGUUCUUUUAAACCCAUGAAACACACCAAUCUACAUGAUGAAUGGGGCAUAUAUAGAAAAACACUAUUUGACCUGGUUCAAAAGCAAUUAUUUGAGUUAAUUAACUCUAUUAGUUGAUGGUUACAUUGUUUAUUAAAAACAAUAUGGUGUUAAAUGGGUCAUACUCUAGUAUUGACAUGCCUUAAUAUUGUUCUAUAAACCUAACUAUGGUAAGAAGGGUCCCGUUAGCAUUUAGUGCUAAGUACCAACAACAUAAAGGGUAAGUAAACAAAUAAGGGUCGGCUAAUUCUAUCUGAGUGUACAAACAUUAGAUUCAAAUUUGUCCAUCUGCGAGACACCAUGAGCUCAAAUGGUGGUUUACAUGUAGUGAGCUAGUUAGUUAGACCAAUUUAAAGAUCGUGUCAAUUGGAUCAACUCGACUUCUUGAAGAUUAGGUUAGUCGGGUCAACUAAAAUUUCUAAAGAUCAUGUUAACUAAGUCAACUGGGUUUCUUGAAAAUUAUGCAUCCUUUCUGAUACUUGUUCUUGAAAAGGUAAUUUUUAGGAUGCAUUGUUUGAAUAAGAGUGGUGGCCUAUCAAGUUUUGAGCAGGUCAUCUUGAUUUGCUUAGCCUCGCAUUUAAUAUCUAAAAUUGAGCCCAUGAUUCCAACAAAUCUACAUGAAUUUCAGUACAUUAAGCAUCCAAUCAAACUUUAUUAUUAUUUAUAUUUUACAGAUAUGCAUCCAAGGGAUGAACAUUAGCAUCUAAAAUCUGUCAAGCUAUCCACCUCAAUCACUCUUUGUUGAACAGACACUUCCAACCCAGAGAAUUACUAAGGCAUUUGGUGUGAUCGACAAAGAUUGUGAACGUACUUGCUGUUAUUUAGAACUUCUCAUCUGACAACAUGAAUUAACUAGAGCAUAUACUCAAAUAACUUCAAAGUCCAUUCGUUGCUGGAGAAAUUUGAUAUAAUAAUGGGAGGCACUGAGAGCUCAUUCCUGACCCGUGGGGAUCAUCUGGAAUCGUUAAUUCUUAAUUGGGAUACAUUACAGUAUCUGUUGUAUCUGAGAAAUCAUCAACUGGGAACAUAUUAGAACUCAGGAUCUGCAUAACUGGGAGUGCUGAAUCUGAUGAAACACCUGUUGUGGUGGUGUCCUCAUGUGCCUCUCUAUGCACUGCAGUCUGUUGAAGCUGCAUUGCGUAUUCUAAAUCCCAGCACACAUCAAUCAUAUUAGGCCUGUCUGCUCCUUGUGGCUUCAAACACUUCUCAGCUAUUUCACCAAAUUUUCUUAGCGAAUUAGGGUUGAUGUGACCUGCCAGUAGAGGAUCGAUAAUCUUUUCAAGCUGCCCUUCCUUUUGCCAAAACAUCCCCCAUUCAGCUAAGUUUAUUUCUUCCUUCUGCUGUGAGUCUACAACAGGGAGUCGAGCACAAAGCACUUCAAGAAGAACCACACCAAAAGAAUACACAUCUGAUUUAUUGGUUAACUGAAAAGUUCUGAGAUAUUCAGGGUCAAGAUAACCAAAAGUACCUUUAAAACCCAUGCUUAUAUGGUCCGGAUCACGCAUUCCUUGUUGAGAAAGACCGAAAUCAGCUACUUUGGCCACGUAAUGUUCAUCAAGUAAGAUGUUUGUAGACUUAACAUCACGGUGAAAGAUUCCUCCAUCAGGACCAGUAUGGAGGUAAUGGAGACCUUUUGCUGAGCCAAUACAGAUUUCAAGCCUUUGUUUCCAAUUCAAUUCAGUUUUUGCAGAUGGAUUCUUUGAGCACUCCUUCGUGCUGUAUAAGUGGUCCCUCAAAGUCCCCUUUUCCAAGAAUUCAAAAACCAGUAUCAUCUCCGAUCCUUCAUCGCAGUAGCCAACCAAGGAAACAAGAUGCCGAUGUUGAAUCUUUGAAAGGACCAUGACCUCAGUUCGGAACUCUGGAAGACCCUGGCCAUGACUUGAAUCGCUUCGUUUCACAGCCACCUUCAUACCAGUCUCAAGAGUUCCUUUAUAAACUUUGCCAAACCCACCCUCACCAAUCAACAACUUUGGAUUGAAAUUAUGAGUCGCAGCCAGUAUUUCAGCUAAAGACAUCUUCAGUUUGAGGUUUAAAUUAGUAACGUUGGAGGAGGCAUUUUCAGUUUUUUCAGUUAUCCAACUUGGAGACCUCCCUUUUCCAUAAAGAAACUCAGCUUUUACGGGCUUUGGUCGCUUUAAUCUCAAACAUAAUGAGAAUAAUAAAA